AAGUUUCUGAUGUUAGUGAUCAUCAGAGCUGGAUGAAGUUUUUCUGCCAUAGGAGAAGAGAGGGAGAGAAUCGCUGGUUAAGAAGAGAGGGGAGGGAAAGAUGACGGCAGCGACAGGGUAGGUCAGAGUUGUCGCUCUGAUACCAUAAAAGAUGUUAUGAAUCUUCCGUGUUCUCUAUUGAAACAGAUCCAAAAAUAUAUAAUACAAUGUGGCAACCCUAGACUAUUUAGGACAUAUUUACACAAAGCUACCUUCACAAAUACAAAGAUAAUGUCGGCUACCCUAUAAUUAUUUUAAUAUCAUAACAGACUAAUAGCUUCCAUUUUCUUUAAGUCCAAGGCCCACAAUCCAAUUCUUCAUAAAUCAAAUAGCCUAUAUUUUCUUCAAAUCUCCAUUCCCCAACUAGCCCACUUUGCACCAUCUUCAAAAGUCACCAAGCCCAAUGUUCAUCAAUCUUCAAGUCCAUUUGAUUUUCACAUUCAACUGAUCAUUGCUACUCCACAUAGUCUUCGAAAAAUCUGAAAUUAAACACAGACUAUAAAGUUUCCCGAAAUAGAUAAAACAAAUAAAUCAAACAUAUGUAUGAUUAUUAGCUAAAAAUAAAAUAAAAUAUGCUAAAACAAACUAUAAAAAAAAGUAAAUAAAUGCUCUUAUCAGUGAUAUCUAUUUAAUAAUAAUAUAACGAUUAAAUUACACCGAUGGUUCAUGUGGUUUGCGGUAAUUUGUGUCCUUGGUCAUUAACUUUGUUUUUAACUCUAACAAUCCUUAUGAUUUGUUUUGUUGAUUCUUUGGUACCUGCCGCACAUAAAAAAAACUAUAUUUGUUGAACUUAUUUAUCUUCUAAUGUAUUUAUUUAUGAUAAAUAUAUAUGUUAUAUAAAAGAAUUGAUAGGUUUGAUUCCUACUCCACCCCCUUAUCCUUCCUGAUUACCCUCUUCGCUCAUUCCUCAUGAUCCAUCUUCUCUUAUUCAAGAAAAACUUAUGUUGAUAUCAUCUUCUCUGAGGAUGAAUCAAGAUCAAGAUCAAAAUCAAACCCACAACUCAUAUGUUUUCAGUAACCAAACGAACCAAAAAUCAAAACCAAACCAAACCAAAACCCAAAACAUUUUUAUCCUUAAUCAAGAUCAAAAUCAAACAUUUUUAUCCUCUGGUUCAUCGUCAGAUAAGAUUAUCUCGACAAUUGUUUUCUUGAAUAAGAGAAGGGAUGUUGGCGGUGGUUUCACNGAGAGAGAGAGAGAGAGAGAGAGAGAGAGAGAGAGAGAGAGAGAGAGAAGUGGGAAUGGGGGAGCGAACCUGGUUCAACGCCGGGGAAGGUGCUAUAGGCGGUUACCGAUUCAUCACUUGGAGAAGAUAAUCUCAACGGAGAUUGUUUUCUUGAACGAUAAAUAGUUAAGGAAUGUGGAACAUAUGGAAGAGGGUGAUAGAGAAUGUUAAAGGGUGGUGUAGGAAUGCGAUCCA
rnacentral:lncRNA from 1 species